rnacentral:rRNA from 1 species
UACGUAGGGGGCGAGCGUUGUCCGGAGUUACUGGGCGUAAAGCGCACGCAGGCGGUCUGCUAAGUUUGGAGUGACAGUUGGUGGCUUAACUGCCAAAGUGCUUCGAAAACUGACAGACUUGAGGGCUUCAGAGGGACACGGAAUUCCGGGUGGAGUGGUGAAAUGCGUAGAGAUCCGGAGGAACACCGACGGCGUAGGCAGCGCCCUAGACGAGACCUGACGCUCAGGCACGAAAGCGCGGGGAGCGAACAGG